AGAAGAUCAUGCGAGACAGUAUCAAAAGCCUUACUAAAGUCACGAUAGACCACAUCUACUGCUCCCCCGCAUCUGCAAGGCUUGUUACCAUGUCAAAGAACACUAUUCAGUUGGUUUGACACAAUUUGUUCCUGACAAAUCCAUGCUGACUGUUACUUAUCACCUUAUUUUAUAGAUGUUUGGAAAUUGAUUGCUUAAUUAUUUGCUC